GACGAACGCUGGCGGCGUGCUUAACACAUGCAAGUCGAACGAUGAACCACUUCGGUGGGGAUUAGUGGCGAACGGGUGAGUAACACGUGGGCAAUCUGCCCUUCACUCUGGGACAAGCCCUGGAAACGGGGUCUAAUACCGGAUAACACUGCCACGGGCAUCUGUGGUGGUUAAAAGCUCCGGCGGUGAAGGAUGAGCCCGCGGCCUAUCAGCUUGUUGGUGAGGUAAUGGCUCACCAAGGCGACGACGGGUAGCCGGCCUGAGAGGGCGACCGGCCACACUGGGACUGAGACACGGCCCAGACUCCUACGGGAGGCAGCAGUGGGGAAUAUUGCACAAUGGGCGAAAGCCUGAUGCAGCGACGCCGCGUGAGGGAUGACGGCC
rnacentral:rRNA from 1 species